rnacentral:rRNA from 1 species
CGGUCCUAGUGGCGAACGGUCGCGUAACACGUAAGCAACCUGCCCUGAAGUGGGGGACAACAUCCCGAAAGGGGUGCUAAUACCGCAUGUGGUCACGAGUCGGCAUCGGCUUGUGUCUAAAGAUUUAUCGCUUCAGGAUGGGAUUGCGGCCUAUCAGGUAGUUGGUGGUGUAAUGGCCUACCGAGCAGACGACGGGUAGCUGGUCUGAGAGGACGAUCAGC